ensembl:lncRNA
CUGCGUCUCCCUCUCCCUAACCUCAUUUAAGGGCUGGCGGCUGAAGAGAAAGACCUUCUACUUGUGGACUGCAUCCUUUGAGAGUUGCGAGCCUGGAUCCUCAGAAAAGGGGGAAGGUGAAGGGGAGCUCUGCUGCUGGCUGCCAGACAGGCUCCCACACCGAGCAGCUCGAGGGGAACCCUCAGCCUGGAGAGGAAAUCCAGAGAGCAGAGCUGCAAGCCGGGGGAAGAGCAGGCGACAUCUUAAAGCUGCGAUCGUCUACAAAUAUUAACUGACCCUGGGCUUUGCAACUGCCAAAAAAUGAUGCUUGAGAAAUGUGGCGCCAGGAAUCCUGAAGUCACUUCUGGAGCUUUGGAAAAUGCAGCUGCCUUGGGAUGUCAGCCCACGACGGUUGUUAUUAUCCACUGUGCAGAAUGAAGCUUCUGUUGGGAGCGCUCACAAAGGCCAUCAUUCUUUACAAAUAGUGGCUGUUUUUAUCACCUGGCAGUAAUGAUGCUCUCUGGUCCUUUUAAUAUCUGAGCAUGGUCCCACAGUACAGCUGGGAAACUCGUCUCGGGCUUGGCCCUGCACAGGGGAGCAAGCAGCUUGUGAUUCUCUGCCAAAGGCACAGUUACUGGUGUGGAAAUGGGCAGGGUUCGUGCAAUAACUGCCUCCCUGUCAAGCUUGGCCGCCUGCAGGCUGGGUUCAGCUGCUUGCUGUGAAACAGAGCAGCACAUAUCACAGUGUAUGUCCAUGUGCCACUGCUGGGACGACUGUGUCCAGACUCCUCUAGGGAUGAGGUCAGAGAUGGCACUGACCAUCCUUCAAGCCACAGGGAGCUGUGACUUUCAGCAUCCUUGGCUCUGCGUCUCCUCUCCUAUCUUGAAAGUAAAGUACCAGGUGACUCAGGGUGACAGAUACACUGGGUGCAAGUCCCAUGUGCUGGGAAAUGGCCUUGAAUUUUGGAGCUUGUCCAUGUCUCGGGGAGACACAGCCCCCAGAACGUGGUCUGUGGGGUAGCUGACAUCUUGCAGCCAGCCUGCAUCCACGUGCAGGCUGUGGCAGUGCCUCAGACCUGACCCUGAAGGUGCUGGGGAAGUGACUCACGGCACAAAGCCGGAGAUGCUCAGCCUGCUUAGCUUACUAAAAAGAACAGGAGGUGACUUAAUUGUGCUGUGUGAGAAACCUUCGUGGGGAGAGGCAGGCUCUAAAGAUAUUAGAAAGGAAAAGAUUUCACCAUCCCGGUUUCUUGUAAGAUGGGAAGAUAAAGCCAUACUUGAGAACCUCAGUGGGAGCUAGCAGCAGGGUCUGGAAUUGCUGGUUGCCUGACAACACUGAAUCAUUUUGUGACCUUAUCAUUCUGUUUAUUUGGAUGAGCCAUCCCUGGCGGCUGGGAGGUGCGGAGGGCUGCAGUGGAUGCCCAGCAGUGAGGGGCUGCCCGCCGCCUCUGCUCAGUGGUGCCCUUGGAAGCUGGAGGUGGGCACGUAUGGAGUGCUCCUGCUGAGACGCUGGGGAUCAAGGUGGUGUUCAUAACAGUCAAAAAAUGUGUUUGCUUCCUCUUGCAAAUGUUCAAACAUCUUUAAACUGUCUGCGGUGCCAAGCUGUUUCUCUCCCUAUUUUAAGAGAAAAUAAGCUUUCUAUAAGGAAAAGAAGCCACAAAAAGCACAGCAAGCCCAAAGUUAACAGUGAGCGGACCAAAAUGAAACUAAUGCUAGAAAGAUUCCAGCUGCUCUUCCAAAACAGUGUACCUCACAGCGAAGGGUAUGGGAAAAGAUGAGAGAAUGGGU